rnacentral:rRNA from 1 species
GGUUAAGCGACUAAGCGUACACGGUGGAUGCCCUGGCAGUCAGAGGCGAUGAAGGACGUGCUAAUCUGCGAUAAGCGUCGGUAAGGUGAUAUGAACCGUUAUAACCGGCGAUUUCCGAAUGGGGAAACCCAGUGUGUUUCGACACACUAUCAUUAACUGAAUCCAUAGGUUAAUGAGGCGAAGCGGGGGAACUGAAACAUCUAAGUACCCCGAGGAAAAGAAAUCAACCGAGAUUCCCCCAGUAGCGGCGAGCGAACGGGGAGCAGCCCAGAGCCUGAAUCAGUGUGUGUGUUAGUGGAAGCGUCUGGAAAGGCGCGCGAUACAGGGUGACAGCCCCGUACACAAAAAUGCACAUGCUGUGAGCUCGAUGAGUAGGGCGGGACACGUGGUAUCCUGUCUGAAUAUGGGGGGACCAUCCUCCAAGGCUAAAUACUCCUGACUGACCGAUAGUGAACCAGUACCGUGAGGGAAAGGCGAAAAGAACCCCGGCGAGGGGAGUGAAAAAGAACCUGAAACCGUGUACGUACAAGCAGUGGGAGCACAGAGCAAUCUGUGUGACUGCGUACCUUUUGUAUAAUGGGUCAGCGACUUAUAUUCUGUAGCAAGGUUAACCGAAUAGGGGAGCCGAAGGGAAACCGAGUCUUAACUGGGCGUUAAGUUGCAGGGUAUAGACCCGAAACCCGGUGAUCUAGCCAUGGGCAGGUUGAAGGUUGGGUAACACUAACUGGAGGACCGAACCGACUAAUGUUGAAAAAUUAGCGGAUGACUUGUGGCUGGGGGUGAAAGGCCAAUCAAACCGGGAGAUAGCUGGUUCUCCCGAAAGCUAAAAGCUAUUUAGGUAGCGCCUCGUGAAUUCAUCUCCGGGGGUAGAGCACUGUUUCGGCAAGGGGGUCAUCCCGACUUACCAACCCGAUGCAAACUGCGAAUACCGGAGAAUGUUAUCACGGGAGACACACGGCGGGUGCUAACGUCCGUCGUGAAGAGGGAAACAACCCAGACCGCCAGCUAAGGUCCCAAAGUCAUGGUUAAGUGGGAAACGAUGUGGGAAGGCCCAGACAGCCAGGAUGUUGGCUUAGAAGCAGCCAUCAUUUAAAGAAAGCGUAAUAGCUCACUGGUCGAGUCGGCCUGCGCGGAAGAUGUAACGGGGCUAAACCAUGCACCGAAGCUGCGGCAGCGACGCUUAUGCGUUGUUGGGUAGGGGAGCGUUCUGUAAGCCUGCGAAGGUGUGCUGUGAGGCAUGCUGGAGGUAUCAGAAGUGCGAAUGCUGACAUAAGUAACGAUAAAGCGGGUGAAAAGCCCGCUCGCCGGAAGACCAAGGGUUCCUGUCCAACGUUAAUCGGGGCAGGGUGAGUCGACCCCUAAGGCGAGGCCGAAAGGCGUAGUCGAUGGGAAACAGGUUAAUAUUCCUGUACUUGGUGUUACUGCGAAGGGGGGACGGAGAAGGCUAUGUUGGCCGGGCGACGGUUGUCCCGGUUUAAGCGUGUAGGCUGGUUUUCCAGGCAAAUCCGGAAAAUCAAGGCUGAGGCGUGAUGACGAGGCACUACGGUGCUGAAGCAACAAAUGCCCUGCUUCCAGGAAAAGCCUCUAAGCAUCAGGUAACAUCAAAUCGUACCCCAAACCGACACAGGUGGUCAGGUAGAGAAUACCAAGGCGCUUGAGAGAACUCGGGUGAAGGAACUAGGCAAAAUGGUGCCGUAACUUCGGGAGAAGGCACGCUGAUAUGUAGGUGAGGUCCCUCGCGGAUGGAGCUGAAAUCAGUCGAAGAUACCAGCUGGCUGCAACUGUUUAUUAAAAACACAGCACUGUGCAAACACGAAAGUGGACGUAUACGGUGUGACGCCUGCCCGGUGCCGGAAGGUUAAUUGAUGGGGUUAGCGGUAACGCGAAGCUCUUGAUCGAAGCCCCGGUAAACGGCGGCCGUAACUAUAACGGUCCUAAGGUAGCGAAAUUCCUUGUCGGGUAAGUUCCGACCUGCACGAAUGGCGUAAUGAUGGCCAGGCUGUCUCCACCCGAGACUCAGUGAAAUUGAACUCGCUGUGAAGAUGCAGUGUACCCGCGGCAAGACGGAAAGACCCCGUGAACCUUUACUAUAGCUUGACACUGAACAUUGAGCCUUGAUGUGUAGGAUAGGUGGGAGGCUUAGAAGUGUGGACGCCAGUCUGCAUGGAGCCGACCUUGAAAUACCACCCUUUAAUGUUUGAUGUUCUAACGUUGACCCGUAAUCCGGGUUGCGGACAGUGUCUGGUGGGUAGUUUGACUGGGGCGGUCUCCUCCUAAAGAGUAACGGAGGAGCACGAAGGUUGGCUAAUCCUGGUCGGACAUCAGGAGGUUAGUGCAAUGGCAUAAGCCAGCUUGACUGCGAGCGUGACGGCGCGAGCAGGUGCGAAAGCAGGUCAUAGUGAUCCGGUGGUUCUGAAUGGAAGGGCCAUCGCUCAACGGAUAAAAGGUACUCCGGGGAUAACAGGCUGAUACCGCCCAAGAGUUCAUAUCGACGGCGGUGUUUGGCACCUCGAUGUCGGCUCAUCACAUCCUGGGGCUGAAGUAGGUCCCAAGGGUAUGGCUGUUCGCCAUUUAAAGUGGUACGCGAGCUGGGUUUAGAACGUCGUGAGACAGUUCGGUCCCUAUCUGCCGUGGGCGCUGGAGAACUGAGGGGGGCUGCUCCUAGUACGAGAGGACCGGAGUGGACGCAUCACUGGUGUUCGGGUUGUCAUGCCAAUGGCACUGCCCGGUAGCUAAAUGCGGAAGAGAUAAGUGCUGAAAGCAUCUAAGCACGAAACUUGCCCCGAGAUGAGUUCUCCCUGACUCCUUGAGAGUCCUGAAGGAACGUUGAAGACGACGACGUUGAUAGGCCGGGUGUGUAAGCGCAGCGAUGCGUUGAGCUAACCGGUACUAAUGAACCGUGAGGCUUAACCUU